GAGGGUAGCCCUACUUCGCCUCGAUUU
rnacentral:rRNA from 1 species